rnacentral:rRNA from 1 species
GAUGAACGCUGGCGGCGUGCCUAAUACAUGCAAGUUGAGCGAACAGAUGAGGAGCUUGCUCCUCUGACGUUAGCGGCGGACGGGUGAGUAACACGUGGAUAACCUACCUAUAAGACUGGGAUAACUUCGGGAAACCGGAGCUAAUACCGGAUAAUAUAUUGAACCGCAUGGUUCAAUAGUGAAAGACGGUUUUGCUGUCACUUAUAGAUGGAUCCGCGCCGCAUUAGCUAGUUGGUAAGGUAACGGCUUACCAAGGCAACGAUGCGUAGCCGACCUGAGAGGAUGAUCGGCCACACUGGAACUGAGACACGGUCCAGACUCCUACGGGAGGCAGCAGUAGGGAAUCUUCCGCAAUGGGCGAAAGCCUGACGGAGCAACGCCGCGUGAGUGAUGAAGGUCUUCGGAUCGUAAAACUCUGUUAUUAGGGAAGAACAAAUGUGUAAGUAACUAUGCACGUCUUGACGGUACCUAAUCAGAAAGCCACGGCUAACUACGUG